UACGUAGGGGGCAAGCGUUGUCCGGAAUGACUGGGCGUAAAGCGCGCGCAGGCGGUUCGCCGCGUCUUUGGGUGAAAGACCGGGGCUCAACCCCGGGGGUGCCGGAGAUACGGGCGGACUUGAGGGUCGGAGAGGUCAGGGGAAUUCCACGUGUAGCGGUGAAAUGCGUAGAGAUGUGGAGGAAUACCAGUGGCGAAGGCGCCUGACUGGACGAAACCUGACGCUGAGGCGCGAAGGCGUGGGGAGCAAACAGG
rnacentral:rRNA from 1 species